UACGUAGGCAGCAAGCGUUGUUCGGAGUUACUGGGCGUAAAGGGUGUGUAGGCGGUUGGAUAAGUGUGGUGUGAAAUCUCCCGGCUUAACUGGGAGGGUGCGCUACAAACUGUCUGACUAGAGUGUGGGAUGGGAGAGUGGAAUUCCUGGUGUAGCGGUUGAAAUGCGUAGAUAUCAGGAGGAACACCGGUGGUGUAGACGGCUCUCUGGACCAUAACUGACGC
rnacentral:rRNA from 1 species